AUUAGAGCUAGAUAUCUGCAGAGAAUUGCUCAUAGUCCCUGAUUGGUACUGCCCAUGCUGCAUUCCCAAUAUACUGUUCUCCUGCUGUUGGUCAUUGGGGCUGCACUGAUGUUGCGAAGAAGGGUUUAAGCAGUCCAAUGAUUGCCCUUCCCUUCCUUCAAAAUAGGAAGCCAUGCCAUCUGUGGGUCCGUGUGAAACACUUCUUUGGUCUGAGGCCUGUAAUACUGCCAGCAUAGCGGUUGAAGCGGCUAAUUCGGUAUCCAGAUCGAGCUGCUCUCUUUUUAUCCUCAGCUGUUGCUCCUGCUCCCCCAAAGCAUGCCUUUCCUUUAAGAAUGAUGCACGUACAACAAGUGCAGCUCUUUUUGCCUCCACCCUUAACUGUACAGAGGAGACACUGCGGUCAACUCAGCCGACACUCGGAUUUCCGUGGUCAACUCAAACGACGCUGGAAUUUUAGUGCAC
ensembl:lncRNA